AGUUAAUCUACCAACUCUGACCAAAGCAAAUAUCGUCUGCUUACAAAAUAGCGAAACUGAGCAUGCGCGAAGUGACUAUCGUCUGGUACAGUAAGUACGAAUUCACGACGAUUUCAGUUCAGUUUGUAAAAUGUAUUCUGCUGAAUUAACUUCAGAAUUCAUGUUUAAGAUAACUGGUUUAUGAAAAGAUUUAAAGGACUACCAAUGGUAAUCUCUGUUGACGAUUUCUUCUUCAUAAAGAGAAAUUUCUUGAUAAGAGUAAGUACGAAAUGUUAUUACAGUAGAGCGUCGAUUAUCCGAAUCAAUUGGGAACUGGGCUGUUCGGAA